rnacentral:lncRNA from 1 species
GGGGGGGGGGGUGGAAGUAGAGAAUGGGGCGAGGAGAAAGUGGGGGGCCAUCAGGCUCUGGGAAAAUCUGGGUUGGGGUGUACAGGACAGGAGGCAGGAGAGUGCCAGAGAGAAGCAAAAGUUGGUGGUGUGAAAAAUGUGGGUCUUGGGGGUCUGGUUGGACAGGUGAGCCUGUCCCCUUCCUCCAUCCAAACUCCUGCUGCUGGGUUGGGCACCCGGCCUGUGGGAACCUGCUCCUUCCCUGUGCCCUGGGGCUGCCCCCUUCACCUCCCUCUCCAGGAACUGAGCCCAGAAAGGGGGAGUAGGGAGGGGACCAUCCCCUCCUGGGGCCUGGAUUUGUGGGAGGCCCCAAGCAGGGCCUCAGCUUCGACUGUUCCCUUUAGUGGGGACCGCGGGGGUUGGGCCGCGCGGGUAGGCCGAGGGGGCUGGGCACGCCGCGUUUUGGGGACAGCUGGGUGGUUACCUGGGGGAGGCCGGGGCGCACAGGGGAAUGCGGGGUGGGCGUGGCAGCCUAGGGGAGCGCGCGGCCCGGAGGGCGGUGCCGGGCGUGGGAGCGGCGGGUACAGCGCGGUCCUUGGAGGGGGAAGGGCGGCGACCCGGGCGGGCGGGAGGGGGAGCCGGGCUAGUGGGAGGCGGCGCCUGGGCCCGAGCCGCCCCAGCCCUGGCUCCUCUCCCCGGAACAGGCCCCCGACAGCUGCGCGCGGGAGCCGCCUCCCGACACCCGAGCCUCGCCGGCGCCUCCCCGCUCCCGGCUCCUGGCUCCCUGCGCCUCCCCCGCCCCUCGCCCAGCAGCCGAGGAGGCCCCGCUCCGGGGUCGCACGCAGGGGUCUUCCGGGAAGAGCGAUGAGAGGUAGGGGGCGCGGCCGGAGGACCCCUGCGGGACGGAGGGGCGGAGGCAGAGGCCUGGGGCUCCGGGGGAAGCGCGGCGGCCGGGUGAGGGCCUGGCGGCGCUGUUCUUGGUUGUCCAGCCCCGCCAGGCGUGACCCUGCUGCCCGCCCCCCUCCCCCCCCCAGCGCUCUGGCUUACUGUCUGAAUAUGGGGGGAACCCCCUGA